rnacentral:rRNA from 1 species
AUUGAACGCUGGCGGCAGGCCUAACACAUGCAAGUCGAGCGAGCGGCGGACGGGUGCGUAAUGUAUGGGGACUGCCCGAUAGAGGGGGAUAACUACUGGAAACGGUGGAUAAUACAGCAUACUGUCGGAUAACCACUAUGGGGUUAGCUAGUAGGUAAGGUAAUGGCUUACAUAGGCGCCGAUCCCUAGCUGGUCUGAGAGGAUGAUCAGCCACACUGGGACUGAGACACGGCCCAGACUCCUACGGAGGCAGCAGUGGGGAAUAUUGCACAAUGGGCGCAAGCCUGAUGCAGCCAUGCCGCGUGUAUGAAGAAGGCCCUAGGGUUGUAAAGUACUUUCAGUCGGGAGGCGUUACCGACAGAAGAAGCACCGGCUAACUCCGUGCCAGCAGCCGCGGUAAUAC